GAAAAAGGGGGAUCGAAAAAAUCAAUUUCUAGAGAACACUCACUCGAAAAAGAUUCUUCCUACGGGCGAAGUCGAUAUUCGAGUGAAAAAUUCAGAGACAACAAAGAGGAACUGAUUGCCUUGGUAAAAAAGGCUAGAGUAAAAACUCACGAUCCCAUGUAUAAAGACAGUGUAUCAAAACGAGACAAGAAUAGAAUCAAAAUCAAACACGGAAAAGUAGUGAAUGGGACAUGGACCAACCAAACCGCUGAAAAAGAACUACAGGAUUUAAAGACUUUAUGUGAGGAGAUUUUUGGAUCCAUCGAUUAUCAUGAUGAUCCUGCAAGAAAAAACAGCGGGAGGCGUUGGUACUAUUGAAGUUUUUUUGUACGAAUUGGAACUCAACGACUGCGUGUAAUAGGCAGAAACAAUAUAUUUGUUGAAAGUACAUGACGUGAAAGCAAACGACGAUAAAGAUUAUACCAAAAUGAACAAAUACAAGCAUUAAAAAAUUAAAAAAAAAAAACGUCAGAUUAUAGAGCAAUAACGCUUAUAUUAUGUUAAAAAAUUUGAUCAUACUAACAUAUGUGCACUACAUGGU